UUGAAUUGUCAAUUUUAUCUUUAAAAAUAUAUAUUUCUUUAAAAGAAACCCACUCACCUCUCCUCUCCCCCCAAAUUUUCAAACACAAUUUCUUCCUCUUCAUAAACUCAACCCCACACUCCAUCCAUCAAGAAAGAAGUAAGCCCAGACUUGCAAGAAUCAACGGUCCUUGUGCCAUUCCUCUUCAUGGUGGUCUAGGGCUUGUUCAGAAGUUGAGGCCAAGAUUUGCGCAGCAGGUUUUGGAUAUUUCCUCGAUGCUAUCACGAUGAAAGAAGAUCAUCGUCAUGAGUAAGGAUCUGAUUAAAUUUAGUGCUCCAGCAGAAUUAUUCUGGGAAACCACCAAUAACUUUCACUUUUUAAAUGUAGGCAAGGUAACUUUGUACCUGAUGACUUCACACUAAUCUUUGGCAUCAUGGCAGUCAAUCUUGCAAAAUUAAUAGUCCUAGUUAUUUUGGUUUUAGGGUCGCGUUUUGUUUUAUUAAGUUAUAUGUAAUGUCUUAUUAGAGAAGUGUCAAAGGAGGAGAUUACUAGGACUUAGGUUGUGCUGCAAAAUUCAUGUGCCAAAAUAGGUGCUAAUGAGGGUUGUAAUCAUUGCAAAAUAAGUUAGGUCAAUUUUAAAAUUAGGAAUUGCUGAAGAUCUCAAGUUUUAGAUGGUUCCCUCGAGCUAGCUCGGGACUCACUUAAAAAAAAACUAGGCAGAGACUUUGCUCAACUUUUGCUCAAGUGAGAUUACCAAUUUUGCAAAUUGAUUUAACCUAAACUUUUACCUACCUAUAAAUACAUACCCUUUGAUGAACGACUUUCAAAAGAGAGGAUGUUGUACAAGGAGCAUUCUAAGAAGCCUUCUUGCUCUGAGCCUAAAUGGAGAAAAUACUUCUCCCAUUCUUUUCACAUCGUGAACCUAAACUGAUUUCCAUCCAAAGAACAGAAAUUCUUAACCUUUGUCAGUGAGUUCACUAUCAUACCGAAGUUUUGGAUUGGUGCAAAUGAGUUCAUUCAUGGGGGAGAUUCUAAUCUGCCGUUGGAGACAAAUGGGUCAUUUGCUUGGUUACACAUCAAUUCUAAGUUUGCAAAGUUUUGUAAGUAUAGGCUAGUAGUAAGAAUCGUUAUCUUAUAGUGAAACUUCAUGUGGGAUUGGUUAUCCGAAGUGGAUUUUCUUUUAAAAGUUCUACAAAAGUUUUCCACUCA